AUUGAACGCUGGCGGCAUGCUUUACACAUGCAAGUCGAACGGUAACAGGCCGCAAGGUGCUGACGAGUGGCGAACGGGUGGGUAAUGCAUCGGAACGUGCCCAGUCGUGGGGGAUAACUACUCGAAAGAGUAGCUAAUACCGCAUACGAUCUAUGGAUGAAAGCGGGGGACCGUAAGGCCUCGCGCGAUUGGAUCGGCCGAUGUCAGAUUAGGUAGUUGGUGGGGUAAAGGCUCACCAAGCCAACGAUCUGUAGCUGGUCGGAGAGUACGACCAGCCACACGAGGACUGAGACACGGCCCAGACUCCUACGGGAGGCAGCAGUGGGGAAUUUUGGACAAUGGGCGCAAGCCUGAUCCAGCAAUGCCGAGUGCAGGAAGAAGGCCUUCGGGUUGUAAACUGCUUUUGUACGGAACGAAACGGCUCUGGUUAAUACCCGGGGCUAAUGACGGUACCGGAAGAAUAGGCACCGGCUAACUACGUG
rnacentral:rRNA from 1 species